rnacentral:rRNA from 1 species
UGCAGUCGAACGAUGAAGUUCCUUCGGGGAUGGAUUAGUGGCGAACGGGUGASGAACACGUGAAGAAUCUGCCCUCCACUUUGGGAUAACUCCGGGAAACCGGGGCUAAUACCGAAUAUUGAAACAUAAGUGGCAUCACUGAGUUUUGAAAGAAUUUCGGUGGAGGAUGACUUCGCGGCCUAUCAGCUUGUUGGUGAGGUAAUGGCUCACCAAGGCGACGACGGGUAGCCGGCCUGAGAGGGCGACCGGCCACACUGGGACUGAGACACGGCCCAGACUCCUACGGGAGGCAGCAGUGGGGAAUAUUGGGCAAAGGACGAAAGUCUGACCCAGCGACGCCGCGUGCGGGAUGAAGGCCUUCGGGUUGUAAACCGCUUUCAGCAGGGAAGAAGCGAAAGUGACGGUACCUGCAAAAGAAGCACCGGCUAACUAUGUGCCAGCAGCCGCGGUAAUACAUAGGGUGCAAGCGUUGUCCGGAAUUAUUGGGCGUAAAGAGCUCGUAGGUCGUUAAUUACGUCGGGUGUGAAAAUCUGGGGCUCAACCCCAGACCUGCACUCGAUACGGGUUAGCUAGAGUCUGGUAGGGGAGACUGGAAUUCCUGGUGUAGCGGUGGAAUGCGCAGAUAUCAGGAGGAACACCAAUGGCGAAGGCAGGUCUCUGGGCCAAUACUGACACUGAGGAGCGAAAGCGCGGGGAGCGAACAGGAUUAGAUACCCUGGUAGUCCG